rnacentral:rRNA from 1 species
UUCUUAAACAAUAGGCCGAGGUCAACGAAAUUAAAUAGGCCUCUCCCUACAUUUGCGCGUGAAGAGAGAAGAGCUCAUCAUUAGAAUCUGGUAGUGUCGCUCCGUCCGUCUCGUAGAUGUGGACUAGUUUCUCUUGGGCCCCAUGGCGUACAAGCACAAUAGGGCGUCAGUGCGACAUUAUAGAGGGUGACAAUUCCGUCGUUGAACCCAAUGAGCAAGUCCGUUACGAUGGCUAUGUCAGAGAGUCGAGCAGUUUGGGAUCUGCCGUUUCACAUGGGAGGUAGAUUCCUCCUAAAGCUAAAUACAGGGGAGAGACCGAUAGAGAACAAGUACCGCAAGGGAAAGAUGAAAUAGAACUCUGUGAAGGGAGUCAAAAGGCGUGAAAUUGUUGCGAGAGAAGCGAUUCAAGUCAGCGUAGCUAGGCCCAUCAAGCGUUCUUCGCUUUGGACUAGCUUUGCCAGCGGUCUUGUCCUUUAGAGGCUUGACUUUUGUUAUACGUGUCCAGCCUGGUAUGUACAGGUAGCCCCUCUUGGGGGGCCAGUGGCAUGGCUGGUGGAAUGGCUUGCAAUCGACCCGUCUUGAAACACGGACCAAGGAGUCUAACAUGUAUGCGAGUAUAAGGGUGGCAAACCCGUAUGCGCAAUGAAAGUGAUUUUCGUCGAUUGAGAAUGGCCUGACGACCAGACAAGCAAUACAUGUCCCUCGGACGGCCAUUGCCCAAGUUCCGUGGUAGAUCCCACGAACAAGGAGUUGGAGCCUACAUGCUAGGACCCGACAGAUGGUGAACUAAGCCUGUACAUCGUGAAGCCAAUCGAAACUGUCGUAGACGCUCGUAGCGAUUCUGAUCGUGCGAUAUCUCUCGUCUUAUCCGAUGAUACAAGUGACGCGGAGAAUUUUCCCUCCCCC